GCUACUCUGGAUCCGACUACACGACCCGUGAGGAAUCACAGGUGCAAAAGAAGAUGCAAGUGUAACCACCUUUUUCAUAUUCAUGCUACCUUGCCCACUCCCCCUCCUAUUGAUAUCAUUCAAAAUGGACGCUGACUUGUUGACAGUGCGUUAAUUAACUUGUGACGGUGUGAUUGUUUCGAGAGUUAUUCACUGCAUUUUGGUGUUUUUGACUAACUGAAUCGCUGUAAAACAGAGCAGCAAGCAGAGCAACGUUGUUUAACAUAGACCUUCCUGGUUCACCCAUCGUGUCAUUUGACAAUUUCACAAUUGUUUUGUGGUUUCUGAUACGAGGUCAUUGGGCCUAUGACUCCGACUCCAGGUUUUAACUGAACGAAAAAUUCUAGGAAACCGACUGAAACUGAAUCGUCAAUUCUUCGAACUUGCCAGGAAAGUUACGUAAUGGAUAGCGAUAGACGUAUAGGCGAGCUCGUUCUUCAAGAAUCGUGAGAAUUCGACUCUGCCCACGUGAGUUAGGAACUUUAAAGAGACGGCACCUCCAAGUAAAUCACGACGCUGUAGCUGUACGACUGUAGUUGCUGCUUUCCUAAUAAAUACUGAUUUUGAGGCAACGCUGCGUUUUUUUUUACAUGGCACAGAAUUGACAGCACCUUGACCAGUUUUGACACCUUCGAGGCAGAAGCCUAGGCGCCACCCUAUUGGCAUUUCCAUAUCUCUGACGUUGUUCGAAAAUUUCGUAGGCUAAUUGCUUCACGGUAAUUACCUUUGGCUGCUAAAACUGAAUUGCAGAUCUUCGUUCCAGCAACAGUCGGAAAAUCUCAGCCACGCCGGCUGCAUCGAAUUCGUCCACGAGCUUCAACAAGAGCAUUACCGCCACCCACUUUCUGCAUUAAACGCCAUCUAGCGAAGAAGGAAACAAACACAGAAUGCUGCCAUCUAGCAAUGAGAAAAAACAAGAGAAGAAUCAAAGACUUGACGGAACUCACGGAAGUGACAAGAUACAACAAGUAAACACCAAAUGGCGGCGAGUUGUUAAGCAUGGUGUCGGGCUGUCGGCGAUAGUCCCAAGAUUUGGCGUGAUAUCAAGUACCAGACUCACUUGUAAGUUGUGACUUAUUUUCAUUGUACUGAAUAACUCUCUCAAGGUGUUAUUUUAUCGAGUUUCAAUUCCUAAGCUUAGAAAGAUUAGCAGCAAGAGUUGGAACAAAGAAUAGUUCAGUAGGCCUAAAAUUGAACAACCCUGAUGACAAGGAUGACUUUGGGGAGGAGAGGCUCACAGAUGACAUGACUUGUGGACUGAAGCAUAAAACAUAUUGCAAAUGAGACUAUAGUAUUGACGUAUAUGACCGAGUGGUUAACACGUCGGGGAAGUGAGAAUUAGCGGCUCCGGAGGAGGCCUCAACGAGGACGAUUUGGGUCACUCGGGCGAAUCCAUGGCUCGAUUUUCAUAUUUUGUUGAAUUAGUGAAUAAUAACAAUAAGAUGAGGAAUACGGAUCAGAAACAGUGUUGGAGUAAAAUGUUGGAUUUGUCAUUGAAGUUGGAUAGAAAGGAGGAGAAUAUUCCCAGUUGUUCCAGUAGUAGGAGGGAUAGUCUUGCUGCUGUGGUUGCUGCUCCGUUCGGAAUCCAUUCGAGUUAUUGAAAUUGGACUGGGGACUAACGACGUAUUGUGGACAGCUGGUAGCAAGCCAUUCGGAUUGAAGUGGAGACGACGAUGAUGAUUCGGACGUCGAGUAGUUGAUUGAUUCCACGGGUGGAACUGCCGGAGGAUCCGAAUAAAAUCCAGGAGUUGGAAGGACUUGAGUUGAAACAUACUAACCUUGUCGACUUUGACGAGAAACGUAAGGCGGUGAUCGACGAUGUUGGCGAUUUGUUUCACGAGUUGAGGUCGGGACUCGUGAAGAUCCAAGUUGGCGUGCACGUCGACGGCGAUUCUGAAACCACCACUAAUGCAAUCAAGAAAGAAAUUAAUAUGAGAGACGCCAAUCAACUGGGCGAUGCGUCGGCGACCUUCUCGAUUGGGAAACGGAUCUCUGUUGAACUCUGCGUCGAGUAGCUCCAGCUGGACCUCGUCGUAAAAGUGGCGCUGACGACCGGAUGCUGAAGAAGACUUAGUGGUGGAAACAACUGGAUAAUAAUCUAAAAAUUAUCCAGGCGGAAGUACUCAAUCGUCAUUGCUGUCCAGAAUCAACAGAUUAUUGGAAGAUUUAGGUAUCAACCUUGCGGUGUUUCUUCUCGUCUUUGCCAGUAUAAGAUAAUCCAAAACAUCCGGCCAGCUCGGCGUUUGACCUCUCAAUGGCAACGUUUGUAGAACCCUACAAGGAAGGACACAAGAAAAUGUUAUAAAAAGCACUUUGAUUGUAAAAUUCGGGAGAAAAAAAGAUUUUACUAUAAUAGUAAGAAAAUCACUCAGGCUUCGUUUGCACCUUUCUCCCGUGGCAAAAACCUUUCGAUGCCGUAAGUUAGGACUACAGUGACCCAACGACACCAGCCCCUUGAAGGUGGCAGUCACGACAUUAGAUAAUCAGCAUCCCGUUUGACUGGAGAAACUACCGAUGUCGGCCGAGUAUCUCUUCUUCUUUAAAUGUCUUCGUGUAUGCCCAUGUGAGUGUGGGUGUAUUCACGAGGACACCCUUUUUCUCGACUGGUGGAUUCAACUCUUCAGCGGAUGAAACACUUGUGUAUGGAUGCCUGGCCAUAUUUCCCAAGCUUAUAAAGAUGAGAGCCAGAGGAGAAAUAGAAUGAAAGCUCGAAAAAUUGAUGGGACAAGGUGUCGAACUCUACUCUCGCCAGCCUUUAGCGUCAAACGUUAUCAUCCUUAAAUCUCUCAACGCAUCUCCACUGCCUAGUUAGUUAAAGGAAAAGUUAAACUUAAUUUUAAUUUAGUUUAUCGUCGCUGCUCUCUUGGCCGAUGCUGUCGCCGCUCCUUCCGGCUACCAAUCAACCCAUAGAGAUUCCAGUUACUUGACGUCUCCCAGCAACGCUUCUUCCGGCUACAACAAGGACAGCAAAUAUGGCGGAAUCACCAUCACCAGCCAACACGACGUCCGCAAUCUCGACGGAAGCUGCAAAUGAGG
rnacentral:lncRNA from 1 species